ACACUCCCCCUCAAGCUUGACCAUAUGGAACAAGUCAAGCUUGGGAGAGCAGCUUCAUGAUCACACCAUCAGACCCUUGCAGCACCUUCUGAACUCGCCAUCUCCAUGGAAUGCUUGUGGAACCUUCAGCUCCCUCUUCAGACUGCUCACACUGGAAGCCGCCUUGAUAGAGUAGCUCCAUCAUCUUCACACAGCCGAGAGUGCUCUGAACACUCCCUUGUUCUUCCCACAGCCGGAUGACUCCUUUUCCAUCAGUUGCUUGCCAUGGUCUUCCUUCUUUGCUCACUUAACUCCCCUCCUCAAGCUUGGAUAGAAUGAGGGUCCAAGCUUGGAAGUGAGCAGCCGUGAGUCUUCACUAACCAGUGGCACAUAACCACUUCAGUAACCGCUCUCCAUUGCUCAUGACAAUGGGCAAUGCCUUCCUCUUUCUCUUGGAUUGGUGAAGAACUAAGAACACUCCUUGUGCACCUGAAACACCACUCAACCUCCAGAGAAGAUUAGACAUAGGUGCAUUGGGUCAGUCCUUGAUUCCACAUCAAGCUUGAACACCAAUGUCUCACUAAAGCAAUGCAAGAUCAAACAAGACAUCCAAGUUUCAAAUCAUUGCAAGCUCAGCUCUCUAAGUUCUAGUAUGAUCCUACAGAUUCAUUACAAGAUACUUAGGCAAUUUUUGACAGCUCCUUUACUCAGCAUUUAGACAUGAAUCUAAUGCUUCAAUGUAAGACAGCCAUUUGACAGUAUGCACUAACCUUAAUCAGUUUUAAUUCAUGAAUGCAACAAUACAAUUCAUCACACAUUCAUUUAUAACUUAGGCUAAGCAUUACUAUCAUCACUUAACAUCAGACAAUGCAUUACUUUCAAUCUGUUUUCAGUUCAUGAGCUUCAAACUAUAUCAUUUCACAUUUAGCAAACUCAUUACUUAACAGGAGCAAGCAUUUUACUCUUUAAACACUAAACAAGCCUUUAAAGCAUCCUGGGACAGAUUCAACUAGUUAUAUUUAGCAAUCACAUUAUCCUCAGGUUUUUCAAUCUAUACACAUCACAAUACACAACUCAUCUUAUCAUCUGCUCAUCAUCAAGAAGGUUUUAAGAAUCGUUUACCAAAAGGAACCAGAUUGGUUCCUUAACCUUUCAUGAAACCGGCCAUGCUUUGUUGGACUUGAGAGUGGAUCGUCACCCACCUCCUUCACCUUCAGUUCAUGGCCUCCAUCUUGUACCAUCAGCUUCAAAGACCCCUCCUUUCUUCAUCUCCACUAGGCGCCAAGCUCUUGACACCAUCUUCUUUGGAACCGGAUGUGUUCUUCUCUUGGACAAGGCGCCUUGGUACAAGGAUAGCUAGGCCUUGUCCAUACACCUCUGCUUCCAAGGAGAAUCACCAUCAGGACAGGAAGAGAACAGGAUGAGGAACCAUGAGAACUCGCCAAGCUUCAGUCUUCUUCUUCAUAAGGAGAUGAAUCGGAUGGAGAGAGCUUCAAUGGUUUGGAUGUGAGCUGAGGAGAGAGCAGUGUGUUUGCGGAAGCUUCAGCUCAGGUUCUGAUGAACCUGGCUCUGAUACCAUAUGAGGUUUUCAGAGCUCAGGCUGUGUGUGUGAGAACAAGCCACUAAGGGCGAAAUGAGAGCUUGAACUGAAGAGAGAAAGGUCUGAUGAAGAACAGUAUGAACUUGGACAGAAACAAGAGAUUUAGAGAGAUUAAGAGAUUUAAGUAUAAGAAAGGGGUAGUUUGAGGGAUUCUUAUCCAAGAACACACUUUGUAUUAUGAAGGAGGAGGGGAAAUCCCCCUCUCUCUCUUAAGAGAGUUACAAACGCCCAUGAGGUCUUUAUAUAGGUUUUACACUCUUGCAAACUCAUAAACCUAUAUCUAAUGGAUAGAAAUAACUUAAGAGGAAUGGAUGGUGAGGAUGAGUUGGUCUUGUUGUGAUCUGAGUGAUGUGUGCUGAUUGGAUGAGCUAAGCUGGCUCACUUUAAUUCAAACAAGGCUGUGCUGUGAUUGGCUCUCCUUAGGCUCCUUUGUAUCUGUCUACAGAUCAGUCUAGGUGCAUGGUCGUGGCUGCUCUUCCUUUACAGCAACAGCCAGCCUGUCCAUGCCCCAAAGUAACCAAUCAGCUCCACACAGCAUCUUCUUGAUUCCCUUUGACUAGAUUCAAACCUUGGUGCCUCACAUCCUGAAUAGUGAUCCAAAUAGUGAAUAGUCAACCUGAAUAGUGACUAGUGAUUCACUAUUCACUUUUACACCAACUUGCCCAACCUUCUCCAAUCUUACUGUGGUAACUCUCCAAAGUUACUGUGGUAACUUUGGAGUUACUGUCUGACCCAAAUCUUCUCUAAAUGGUGUCUAAGUCCCUCCUGGACUUAACUCUAUCUUUGCACACUCAUCAGACCACUUCUGAAGCCUUAAGACUCUCCCAAAGCCUUACAUACAAUCUCUAAAGAUCUUGCCAUGUCUUUGCACAAGCACCAACUCAACUCAUCACUUUUGCUUCUCCACUUCUUCUCUUCAAGUUAACACUCCCCCUCAAGCUUGACUCUAGCUGAUCCUAAGUCAAGCUUGGAACCUUGAAGAACUUCCUCAUUAAAAACCUCACCAAGGAAAACCCUUUGGGACAAAACCUUGAUGAGGGAAAAAGAGUAAAGUCUCCAAGGCCUAGGGAUUGGCCAGUGAGUCUUUGUGCCUUACCAACAAUGUAAGGGACACAAAGACUCGGAUCAUGGCCCCUUCUUGUGAUGCAAGGUAGAUCACAUCUUCUCUUGCUCAUCACUCUUCAUCUUGUAAUAGCUGAGCCUUGGCUGCUUCUUCUCUUCGAGUUUCCACCUUGUUCUAAAGCUUCAUGGUCGGAUGCCUCAGUCUGUAGUACCAAGGCUGCUCUGCUUUGGCCGCCUUGGAGAUUGCUUCACCAUCCUCCAUCUUGCUUCACAAACCGGUCUGCUCCUCUUCUAGAAUAACCGCCAAGUGCUCUCAUCAAGAAGCCUUCUCAACACUCCCCCUCAAGCUUGACCAUGUGGAACAAGUCAAGCUUGGAAGGAGAGCUUCUUGAUUCUCUACAUUUGCUCACUGCCGUCCACCUUCUUGAACCGGCACCUUUGUGAUCAUUUGAAGUCUUCUCAACACUCCCCCUCAAGCUUGACCAUGUGGAACAAGUCAAGCUUGGGAGAGCAGCUUCAUGAUCACACCAUCAGACCCUUGCAGCACCUUCUGAACUCGCCAUCUCCAUGGAAUGCUUGUGGAACCUUCAGCUCCCUCUUCAGACUGCUCACACUGGAAGCCGCCUUGAUAGAGUAGCUCCAUCAUCUUCACACAGCCGAGAGUGCUCUGAACACUCCCUUGUUCUUCCCACAGCCGGAUGACUCCUUUUCCAUCAGUUGCUUGCCAUGGUCUUCCUUCUUUGCUCACUUAACUCCCCUCAUCAAGCUUGGAUAGAAUGAGGGUCCAAGCUUGGAAGUGAGCAGCCGUGAGUCUUCACUAACCAGUGGCACAUAACCACUUCAGUAACCGCUCUCCAUUGCUCAUGACAAUGGGCAAUGCCUUCCUCUUUCUCUUGGAUUGGUGAAGAACUAAGAACACUCCUUGUGCACCUGAAACACCACUCAACCUCCAGAGAAGAUUAGACAUAGGUGCAUUGGGUCAGUCCUUGAUUCCACAUCAAGCUUGAACACCAA
rnacentral:lncRNA from 1 species